UACGGGGGGGGGGGGGAGCAAGCGUUGUUCGGGAUUUUUACUGGGGCGUAAAGGGGCGCGUAGGCGGGCCAGCACAAGUCAGUUGUGAAAUCUCCGGGGCUUAACUUCGGGAAAGGUCAACUGAUACUGUGCGGGCUAGAGUGCAGAAGGGGGGCCACUUGGAAUUCUCGGUGUAGCGGUGAAAUGCGUAGAUAUCGAGGAG
rnacentral:rRNA from 1 species